AUUGAACGCUGGCGGCAGGCUUAACACAUGCAAGUCGAGCGGAGAGAGGUAGCUUGCUACUGAUCUUAGCGGCGGACGGGUGAGUAAUGCUUAGGAAUCUGCCUAUUAGUGGGGGACAACAUUUCGAAAGGAAUGCUAAUACCGCAUACGUCCUACGGGAGAAAGCAGGGGAUCUUCGGACCUUGCGCUAAUAGAUGAGCCUAAGUCGGGUUAGCUAGUUGGUGGGGUAAAGGCCUACCAAGGCGACGAUCUGUAGCGGGUCUGAGAGGAUGAUCCGCAACACUGGGACUGAGACACGGCCCAGACUCCUACGGGAGGCAGCAUUGGGGAAUAUUGGACAAUUGGCGCAAGCCUGAUCCAGCCAUGCCGCGUGUGUGAAGAAGGCCUUAUGGUUGUAAAGCACUUUAAGCGAGGAGGAGGCUACUUUAGUUAAUACCUAGGGAUAGUGGACGUUACUCGCAGAAUAAGCACCGGCUAACUCUGUGCAGCAGCCGCCGUAA
rnacentral:rRNA from 1 species